UGGGUUGUAGCUCGGUGGUAGAGCGCUUGCCUAGCAUGUGUGAGGGACUGAGUUUGAUUCUCAGCACUACAU
rfam:Ictidomys tridecemlineatus contig100784, whole genome shotgun sequence.